rnacentral:rRNA from 1 species
UACGAAGGGGGCUAGCGUUGUUCGGAAUUACUGGGCGUAAAGCGUAUGCAGGCGGAUCGUUAAGUCGGGGGUGAAAUCCCGAGGCUCAACCUCGGAACUGCCUUCGAUACUGGCGAUCUUCGAGUCCGGGAGAGGUGAGUGGAACUCCGAGUGUAGAGGUGAAAUUCGUAGAUAUUCGGAAGAACACCAGUGGCGAAGGCGGCUCACUGGCCCGGUACUGACGCUGAGAUACGAAAGCGUGGGUAGCAAACAGG